ACCUAGCUGGUUCAGUUGGAGGAACUUGUGACUCUUGAUCUUGGAGUUGUAAGUUCAAGCCCCACGCUGGGUG
rnacentral:tRNA from 1 species